GGGGACGCACUGGUUUCGACAGGAGUAGUUGUGCUAAUGACAGCGGGUCGGGAUCCCGGUCAUCCCGUUAAACACCGGACUUAACUUACACGCAAACAACGAAUUUGCACUGGCAGCUUAAUGCCACGCCGCCUUAUGUUUUCCUACGGCAUAAGCUCGGCGUCAACCGGUAGGAUACGUUAACGCGCGCGACUGACGCACGUUAGCGGAAACUCUUCAGUCUAGCGGCGGUCGGCUUGUUCAUGAGCGAAGCCGUUGCGAAAUCCCGAUCAUGAACUGCACCCGGAGCGGUUGUUAGGGCAAUACUUUUGGACAGGGGUUCGACUCCCCUCGUCUCCACCA
rfam:Clostridiales bacterium S5-A11 contig016, whole genome shotgun sequence.